rnacentral:lncRNA from 1 species
UUUUUUUUUUGUGUCUUGUACAUUCUUAAAACAUUUUCUCGCACAAUAUCUGGACAUCGGUUGGCAUGCAACAUUGCAAAACCACACGUUUACAAAUGAAAAUCAACACUCAGACUAUUGUCAUAAAGUACGACAAUAAAUAAGCAAAAAACAAACCCGGGACACAGAAGUUCAAACAAUAGACCAUCAACUCUGAAAACUAAAAGUAAAAAAGAAACAUGGAUCACGAAAAACAUGCAGGUACGACACCAGAUAGUGAAGAGAACUUGCUUCUUGUUAGACACUUUCCGUGAAAACAAUUUGAUAUUAAGACAAUCUUUUGUUUCAUUUUUUUUUUUUUUUAAUUUCUAACAUGAGGCAUUUGCCUCAUUUGCCUCAAUGUAGUUACGGCCC